GGCGCCGGGGUUGCCGAAGCUGCGGCAGCGCUGUACCUGGCGCUGUUCAGGAAGCCGGCGGGCCUGUUCGUCAGGUCAAACUCCCUGGUCAACUCCUACUACGGCGUCCUCGUCGCCAUCGUCCUCUUCGGCUUGGCGGGGGCGUGGACGGGGCUCUGGGUCUCGCACGACCCGCUACGCCGGCGUGCCGUCGGGAUGACGGUGCUCUGGGCGUCGGUUCUUCCGCUGCUCCUCUUGGCGGGUGUUGGAGGCCAUGCGAUCCUCAAGUGA
rnacentral:rRNA from 1 species